rnacentral:lncRNA from 1 species
GAGGAAGCUGCAAAAGAUUUGGCCACAGCUUGCAGGCUGGACUACACUGAUGAGGCCAACGAGUGGCUGAAGGAAGUCGCACCUAACGCAAAGAAACUACAA